AUACGGAGGGUGCAAGCGUUAUUCGGAAUCACUGGGCGUAAAGGACGCGUAGGCGGGUUGGCAAGUCAGAUGUGAAAUCCUACAGCUUAACUGUAGAACUGCAUUUGAAACUGCUAACCUAGAGUAUGGGAGGGGGAGAUGGAAUUAGUGGUGUAGGGGUAAAAUCCGUAGAUAUCACUAGGAAUACCGAAAGCGAAGGCGAUCUCCUGGAACAUGACUGACGCUAAGGCGUGAAAGCGUGGGGAGCAAACAGGAUUAGAAACCCUAGUAGUCC
rnacentral:rRNA from 1 species